GUGCUUUCUUCAGCAGUUCAUAUACUAAAAUUGGAAUGAUACAGAGAUUAGCAUGGCCCCUGCACCAGGAUGACACACAUAUUCGUGAAUUGUUCCAUAUUUUC